GAAUGGCUUGGUGCUAUGCUUAUGGUAAUGAGUUCUCACUCUAUUAGUUCUCAUGAGAGCUGGUUGUUUAAAAAGAGUCUGGUACCUUCCCCUUCUCUCACCUCCUCCUUUGUCAUGUGAUCUCUGUACAUGCCAGCUUCUCUUCCCCUUCUAUCAUGGAUGAAAGCAGAUUGAGACCCUCACCAGAGACAAACACUGGCACCAUGCUUCUUAUACACCCUGCAGAACCAUAAGCCAAAUAAACCACUUAAAAAAAAUUACCCAGCCUCAAGUAUUACUUUAUAACAACAAAAAAAGGACUAAGAUAUCAACUAGUAAGAUAUCAGAGACAAGCCAUAUAUUUGCUGUGUAAAUUGAAGACCUGCAGGUUUGUCUUGUAUAGCCUUAGACCUAUUAAUGAGUUGCAAAGGGCAUCCUCCAAGAAAGGAGGGAGGCAUGAGGAGACCUGUCUGUCCUCUCUUCUCAAGGCUGGCAACUCAGAUUUAGAGUAUCCCCUUGACCAAGAGGGGGUCCAUUCAUUCGGGGCGGGGGCAGCCUUAAAAUUUUCUUUUAGUUCGCAUCUUUAUGAUGUUGCCUUCCAUUGAAGUUGAGGGAUUUGUUGACAUGGGCUCAAUUCAAAUCUAAAAUGAGCCUUAGCUUGUUAGGGAGCUUUAUUGCUUUGGAAUCAGAGACACUCAGGGUCUAGUCCUGGGGUCUUGGGUGUGGUGGUUAAUUUGUAUGUCAAUUUGGUUGGGCCAUGGUGCCCAGAUAUUUGUUCAAACAUUAUCCCAGAUAUUUCUGUGAAGGUGCUUUUUGGAUGUUAUUAACAUUUAAAUCGGUGGACUUUGAAUAAAUUACCCUCCAUCAUGUGGGUGGCCUCAUCUAAUCAAUUGAAAGCCUUCGUAGAACAAAGACUACCUCCGAAGAAGAGUGGAUUCUGCCAGCAGAUGCUACUCUUCCUUAGGCCUCCAGCCUGCCUGGCCUACCACAUCAGAUUUUAGACUCACCAAGCCUCUAUAAUUGAAAAGACAGGAAGUUGACAGAAGCCGUAUGUUUCAAAGAGUUGAACAGUAAUAAUUCCCUCUGGGGGUAUAAAUGGAAGAAGCUGGAUGGAAAAGACCCCGUUUAAAGGAUAAUAAAGCAUAAAGCACUCUGAGAAGUGUUGAAGGUAAGACCUCAACUCUACAAGCUGAUAAGCAGGCCCAGACUUUUAUUUAUAUUGACAUGAGUGACAUUUAUCUGCCUUUCACUAGAACCUGUAAUCCACAUGUCAAGGUGUGUCUUAAAUGGAGACCUGAUUUCUGGUCAGAGUUGGCAGGCUUUGAAUACAAAUGUGACUGCCCUGGCUGAAGUUCCUGAUUGGAAAAAAAAAAUCCUUGAGAUGGGAAAUCAUCAGGUAACCAUAUCAAUUCAAUUUCAGUUUUCCUCAGAGAAGACACUGCCUAAAGAGUCUUGGCUUUGUGAUAGAAGUUAUAAUCUAUCAAUUAAAGUAGGCAUGGAAUGAAUUACUGAGGGGUUCACAAACCUCAACAUCCCCUUACUUAUUAAUAGUUUCUAAGUACAAUCAUGAUAGAAUUGUAGAUGUCUCUUUAGUACCCUAAUUGUUAACCCAGUCCAGUUUUAGGAAUUGAAAAUCAAGAUGAAUCAAGGACAGCUAGCUAUGGAGACUGCCUGGCUGCCAUAGUUGAGGGACUAAGGGAGAUCAGGGUAUAGUAAGUAUUCUCUUAAGGAGCUUGUCUCCUAGGUAAUGAGAUAAGGCAUAAACACAUUGAAAAUUAAAUAGCUAUAAGCAAAUUGAAUAGCAGUUCAAAGGGGGAAAAAAGCCAUAAUUAUUUACAAAUAAACAGAACUUACUAGAAUAGUUCAAAAGAGGGAAAGAAAAAAGGUUACUGUGGGUGAGGAGUCAAGCAAGAAUUUGGGAAGGCAGUGGGAUUUGAAAUCGGUCUUCAUAGAAGAGGGAGAUAAAUAAGACUUUCACUACAAUGGUGUAUCAUUCAUUAACUGCAGGCCCUGGUGGUCCCACUCUCCCACCUCUAUCUGUCUCUUUCGCCCUCUCUCCCUCUCCUCUACUCAUCGUCAAUAUGCUUCUUUGGACACUUGAUUCAUUCUCCCAUCUAUUGUUCUUAAGUGCAAGGCCUUUUGUCAUAGAUCUGCACCUCAGAUUUGUCCUAGGCCAUAAACACCUUAGGGGAGUGUCUUUUGUUUCCUUCUCUUUGCCUCGUGUAAAGCUGUGCCCAAAUAUAGUUCUCUUUUUUUAACCAAUCAACUUUAUUUUGGUAUAAUUUAUACACACUAAAUUGCGUCUAUAUGGUUCAAUGAGUUUUAACAAAUGUGUACACUUGGGCAGCCACCACUACAAUCAAGAUGUAGAAUUAAUUUCAUCACCCCAGAAAGGUCCGUUGUGCUCCUUUGCAGUGGAAACUCCUUCCCCAUCUCUGGCCUCAGCACUGCCAGGCCAGGAACACUCCUUUCCCCAAAGGUGCUGCACUGGAGGGAGGAGGCAGCCCUCUGCAGAGGGUUAAGAGCCUCGCGCUGUAGCUAGUGACCCAGGUCACGUGGCCUGGCUUCUAAACCUGCUGCUGUGUGGCCAUGAAUAAGCCUGUCAUCUUUCGAUCCCACUGCGCUCGCUCAGAAACAAGGAGCUAAACCAAGUCACCUCUAAAGACUAUUCAGAGACCCGUGGGACCUAGGCAGAGGGAGCAUCCGAUGAAAGGCCCGGGACAGUGUGACUGGCGAGGAUGAGAAACAGCAGAGGCUAACGUGGCCUGAUGCACUUCCCUUUCAGUACCUGGAAUGCUCCUACUCAGAACCCAGCCACCAUGCUGUGAGGAAGCCCAAGCAGUUAUGUGGAGAGGAUUUCUUUGGCCUAUUUGAUCUAUCCACUACUGCAAAUGCCUGUUCCAGCUAUCUCAGCCCAGAUGCCACACAGGAGAGUCAAGAAGUCAUCUUAGACAUCCAGCCCAGUCUAGCAUUGAGGUGACUCCAACCCUAGCCAUGGGUUACCACAUGCAAGUCCCCCAGGCAAGCACCACUAAGUCCAGUGAAUUCCCAUAACUAGAGAAAUAACAAUAAAUCGUUGUUUCAAGCCAUUAAGUUUUGGAACAAUCUGUUGGAUGUCAAUAAGUAAUGUUUACCCAAUGCCUGUAUCAUCAUUGUAUCUUGGAAGUAGAUAACUUGGUUUUGAUUUUACAGCCUCAUAGCUAGAAGAAACCUGCUUUGAGUCUCAGAUGAGACUUUGGACUUCUGAGUUGAUGCUGAAAUGAGUUAAUACCUUGGGGACUGUUGGGAAGGGAUGGUUGUAUUUUGCAAUGUGAG